rnacentral:rRNA from 1 species
GGGGGGGGGGGGGGGGGGGGGGGGGGGGGGGGGGGGGGGGGGGGGGCGGGGGCGGGCGGGGGGACUGGGGGGGGGAACGGGGGAGUGGCGGGGGGGUGAGCUGCGCUGGACGUGGGGAUGAGGUGGGGGAACUGGGGCUAGUACCGGGUGUGACAGGCGCUUGGCUGGGGUUGUGGAACGCUUUUGCGGUAGGGGAUGAGCUCGCGGCCUCUCAGCUUGUUGGUGGGGUAAUGGGCUACCAAGGCGUCGACGGGUAGCCGGCCUGAGAGGGUGUACGGCCACAUUGGGACUGAGAUACGGCCCAGACUCCUACGGGAGGCAGCAGUGGGGAAUAUUGCACAAUGGGCGCAAGCCUGAUGCAGCGACGCCGCGUGGGGGAUGACGGCCUUCGGGUUGUAAACUCCUUUCGCAACCGACGAAGCUUUUGUGACGGUAGGUUGAGAAGAAGCACCGGCUAACUACGUG